AUGGCAGGUGCAAUCAUCAGAGAUGACAGAGGUAAUUUUAUCAGCGCGGAUAAUUGGAAACUUGAUUUCUGUUAUGAUGUUCUUUCAGCCGAAGCAACUGCAUUGCGAUAUGGUUUAUCUUUAGCACAAACUGUAGGCUGUAAUAAGGUCAUCAUUAACUCUGAUAAUUUGGAAGUGGUAAAUACAAUGAAUGAGGGAGGAAGAUCGGCAGGACCAGCAGCAACAAUCUUCGACGACUGUUAUCACAUGGCAUGUGAUUUUCUUUAUACUUCCUUUGUGCAUUGCCCCAGAGAGGCAAAUAUGGUUGCCCAUGAACUGGCAAAUUUGGCAAAGGGGCCUUUAUGUAGUAGUUUCUUUGAUAAGGCUCCUAGUGAACUUAUCCCGCUUUUACUUAGCGAUGUAACUCUUGUAACACCGUAA
rnacentral:rRNA from 1 species